GUCCAGUUAACGAUGAAGAGGAUGUUGAGCUACUGGCCAACCUUGAACAAGAUGUACUUCAAGAAUUGUCUGAUCUAAACAUUGCUAAGUCUGGUACAAGUGCAAGUGUUCGCAUCACCAUUGAUGACACUGAAUCAUAAGUCUUGGGAAUACGAGAAGAACAUCAAAGGAAGUGUGCUGCUGUCAAGGAAUCCUCUCAGCUUCUUUUCUUGUGUUCUAUCUUCUAUGAUUUCCUCGGCUUGGACCUCAAGGAGUUGUGUUGCUUGAAAACUUGUUAAGCCCUUAAAUUAUUAGCUAUGGUUGUCUCAGUUUGGACCUAUUCAGCUUGAACCAUGAUAACUAUUCAGCUUGAACCAUGUUUGUUU